rnacentral:rRNA from 1 species
AGAGUUUGAUCAUGGCUCAGAUUGAACGCUGGCGGCAUGCUUUACACAUGCAAGUCGAACGGCAGCACGGGAGCUUGCUCCUGGUGGCGAGUGGCGAACGGGUGAGUAAUGCACCGGAACGUACCCAGUAAUGGGGGAUAACACAUCGAAAGAUGUGCUAAUACCGCAUACGCCCUGAGGGGGAAAGCGGGGGAUCGUAAGACCUCGCGUUAUUGGAGCGGCCGAUGCCGGAUUAGCUAGUUGGUGAGGUAAGAGCUCACCAAGGCGACGAUCCGUAGCUGGUCUGAGAGGACGACCAGCCACACUGGGACUGAGACACGGCCCAGACUCCUACGGGAGGCAGCAGUGGGGAAUUUUGGACAAUGGGCGCAAGCCUGAUCCAGCCAUGCCGCGUGAGUGAAGAAGGCCUUCGGGUUGUAAAGCUCUUUUGCAAGGAAAGAAAACUUAUCUACUAAUACUAGGUGAGGUUGACGGUACCUUGAUAAGAAGCACCGGCUAACUACGUGCCAGCAGCCGCGGUAAUACGUAGGGUGCGAGCGUUAAUCGGAAUUACUGGGCGUAAAGCGUGCGCAGGCGGUUUUGUAAGUCAGAUGUGAAAUCCCCGGGCUCAACCUGGGAACUGCGUUUGAAACUACAAGGCUAGAGUGUAGAAGAGGGGGGUAGAAUUCCACGUGUAGCAGUGAAAUGCGUAGAGAUGUGG